CCCAGUGUUCAGACUACCUGUUCAGGAGGCUCUCAACGUGUACAGUAGUCUGCACAUUGGUUA
rnacentral:pre_miRNA from 1 species